UACGAAGGGGGCUAGCGUUGCUCGGAAUCACUGGGCGUAAAGCGCACGUAGGCGGAUUCCUAAGUCGGGGGUGAAAUCCUGGAGCUCAACUCCAGAACUGCCUUCGAUACUGGGAACCUUGAGUCCGGAAGAGGUGAGUGGAACUGCGAGUGUAGAGGUGAAAUUCGUAGAUAUUCGCAAGAACACCAGUGGCGAAGGCGGCUCACUGGUCCGAUACUGACGCUGAGGCACGAAAGCGUGGGGAGCAAACAGG
rnacentral:rRNA from 1 species